rnacentral:misc_RNA from 1 species
GAUGAAGAACGUAGCGAAAUGCGAUACGUAAUGUGAAUUGCAGAAUUCAGUGAAUCAUCGAGUCUUUGAACGCACAUUGCGCCCCCUGGUAUUCCGGGGGGCAUGCCUGUCCGAGCGUCAUUGCUGCCCUCAAGCACGGCUUGUGUGUUGGGCCUCCGUCCUCCUCCCGGGGGACGGGCCCGAAAGGCAGCGGCGGCACCGCGUCCGGUCCUCGAGCGUAUGGGGCUUCGUCACCCGCUCUUGUAGGCCCGGCCGGCGCUUGCCGACACAUCAAUCUUUUUUCCAGGUUGACCUCGAAUCAGGUAGGAAUACCCGCUGAACUUAAGCAUAUCAAUAAGCGGAGGA